rnacentral:rRNA from 1 species
ACGGAAGGCAGCAGUAGGGAAUCUUCCACAAUGGACGAAAGUCUGAUGGAGCAACGCCGCGUGAGUGAUGAAGGUUUUCGGAUCGUAAAACUCUGUUGUAAGGGAAGAACAAGUGCGUUAGGUAAUGAAUGCACCUUGACGGUACCUUAUCAGAAAGCCACGGCUAACUACGUGCCAGCAGCCGCGGUAAUACGUAGGUGGCAAGCGUUGUCCGGAUUUAUUGGGCGUAAAGCGCGCGCAGGUGGUUUCUUAAGUCUGAUGUGAAAGCCCCCGGCUCAACCGGGGGGGGGCAUUGGAAACUGGGAGACUUGAGUGCAGAAGAGGAUAGUGGAAUUCCAAGUGUAGCGGUGAAAUGCGUAGAGAUUUGGAGGAACACCAGUGGCGAAGGCGACUGUCUGGUCUGUAACUGACACUGAGGCGCGAAAGCGUGGGGAGCAAACAGGAUUAGAUACCCUGGUA